CACGGGGGGAGCAAGCGUUGUUCGGAAUCACUGGGCGUAAAGGGAGUCUAGGCUGUCAGGUAAGUGAGAUGUGAAAUCCCUCGGCUUACCCGAGGACCUGCAUUUCAUACUGCUUGGCUUGAGGACGGUAGAGGCGUGUGGAAUUCCGGGUGUAGUGGUGAAAUGCGUAGAGAUCCGGAGGAACACCAGUGGCGAAGGCGACACGCUGGGCCGUACCUGACGCUAAAGCGCGACAGCAUGGGGAGCAAACGGG
rnacentral:rRNA from 1 species